rnacentral:rRNA from 1 species
UUCCUACGGGGGGCAGCAGUGGGGAAUAUUGCACAAUGGGGGAAACCCUGAUGCAGCGACGCCGCGUGGGCGAGGAAGUACCUCGGUAUGUAAAGCCCUAUCAGCAGGGAAGAAACAGGACAGUACCUGACUAAGAAGCCCCGGCUAACUACGUGCCAGCAGCCGCGGUAAUACGUAGGGGGCAAGCGUUAUCCGGAUUUACUGGGUGUAAAGGGAGCGUAGACGGAGGAGCAAGUCUGAUGUGAAAAUCCGGGGCCCAACCCCGGAACUGCAUUGGAAACUGUUUAUCUAGAGUGUCGGAGAGG